CUUGUCUCAAAGAUUAAGCCAUGCAUGUCUCAGUGCAAGCCGUAUUAAGGCGAUACCGCGAAUGGCUCAAUAUAUCAGUUUUGGUUCCUUAGAUCUUACUCAGUUACUUGGAUAACUGUGGUAAUUCUAGAGCUAAUACAUGCAAUCAGAACUCUGACCAGUGAUGGGAUGAGUGCUUUUAUUAGAUCAAAACCAAUCGACGGAGGGCUUCGCGUCCGAAGUCGUUAAUUUUGAUGAAUCUGGAUAACUUUUGCCGAUCGCAUGGUCAAGUACCGGCGACGCAUCUUUCAAAUGUCUGCCUUAUCAACUUUCGAUGGUAGUUUCUGCGACUACCAUGGUUGUCACGGGUAACGGGGAAUCAGGGUUCGAUUCCGGAGAGGGAGCCUGAGAAACGGCUACCACAUCCAAGGAAGGCAGCAGGCGCGCAAAUUACCCACUCCCGGCACGGGGAGGUAGUGACGAAAAAUAACGAUACGGGACUCUUUCGAGGCCUCGUAAUCGGAAUGAGUACACUUUAAAUAUUUUAACGAGGAACAAUUGGAGGGCAAGUCUGGUGCCAGCAGCCGCGGUAAUUCCAGCUCCAAUAGCGUAUACUAAAAUUGUUGCGGUUAAAAAGCUCGUAGUUGCAUUUGUGCGCCGCGCUGUCGGUGCACCGCAUCCGCGGUGAUACUGACACGUCUGCGGAGCAUAUCGUCGGUGAGCCGGCGGUAAAACGCCGGUCAAUAUCAAAAUCCUAUCGCGGUUCUCUUCGGUGAGUGUCGAGAUGGGCCGACAAUUUUACUUUGAACAAAUUAGAGUGCUCAAAGCGGGCUCAAAAUGCCGCUUGAAUAUUUCGUGCAUGGAAUAAUAGAAUAUGAUCUCGGUUCUAUUUUGUUGGUUUUCAGAACUCCGAGGUAAUGAUUAAUAGGGAUAACUGGGGGCAUUCGUAUUGCGACGUUAGAGGUGAAAUUCUUGGAUCGUCGCAAGACGAACAUCAGCGAAAGCAUUUGCCAAAGGUGUUUUCAUCAAUCAAGAACGAAAGUUAGAGGUUCGAAGGCGAUUAGAUACCGCCCUAGUUCUAACCGUAAAUAUGUCGUCUAGCGAUCCGCCGACGUUAAUACAAUGGCUCGGCGGGCAGCUUCCGGGAAACCAAAGAUUUUGGACUCCGGGGGGAGUAUGGUUGCAAAGCUGAAACUUAAAGGAAUUGACGGAAGGGCACC
rnacentral:rRNA from 2 species